UACAGAGGGUGCAAGCGUUGUUCGGAAUUAUUGGGCGUAAAGGGCGCGUAGGCGGCCCUGCAAGUCAAAGGUGAAAUCCCUCGGCUCAACUGAGGAACUGCCUUUGAAACUGCGGGGCUUGAGGCCGGGAGGGGGUAGCGGAAUUCCCAGUGUAGCGGUGAAAUGCGUAGAUAUUCGGAAGAACACCAGCGGCGAAGGCAGCAACUUGGUCUGGUAUUGACGCUCAGGCACGAAAGCAUGGGGAUCAAACAGG
rnacentral:rRNA from 1 species